GAUGAACGCUGGCGGCGUGCCUAAUACAUGCAAGUCGAGCGAACAGACGAGGAGCUUGCUCCUCUGACGUUAGCGGCGGACGGGUGAGUAACACGUGGAUAACCUACCUAUAAGACUGGGAUAACUUCGGGAAACCGGAGCUAAUACCGGAUAAUAUAUUGAACCGCAUGGUUCAAUAGUGAAAGACGGUUUUGCUGUCACUUAUAGAUGGAUCCGCGCCGCAUUAGCUAGUUGGUAAGGUAACGGCUUACCAAGGCAACGAUGCGUAGCCGACCUGAGAGGGUGAUCGGCCACCCUGGAACUGAGACACGGUCCAGACUCCUACGGGAGGCAGCAGUAGGGAAUCUUCCGCAAUGGGCGAAAGCCUGCCGGAGCAACGCCGCGUGAGUGAUGAAGGUCUUCGGAUCGUAAAACUCUGUUAUUAGGGAAGAACAAAUGUGUAAGUAACUAUGCACGUCUUGACGGUACCUAAUCAGAAAGCCACGGCUAACUACGUG
rnacentral:rRNA from 1 species